UACAGAGGGGGCAAGCGUUAUUCGGAAUUAUUGGGCGUAAAGGGCGCGUAGGCGGCCUGGCAAGUGGAAGGUGAAAUCCCUCGGCUUAACCGAGGAACUGCCCUCCAAACUGCUUGGCUUGAGUCCGGGAGAGGUGAGUGGAAUUCCCAGUGUAGCGGUGAAAUGCGUAGAUAUUGGGAGGAACACCAGGUGGCGAAGGCGGCUCACUGGGAGUUUUCUGACGCUGAGGAACGAAAGCCAGGGUGAGCGAACGGG
rnacentral:rRNA from 1 species